rnacentral:rRNA from 1 species
CCUACGGGUGGCAGCAGUGGGGAAUAUUGCGCAAUGGGCGAAAGCCUGACGCAGCGACGCCGCGUGAGGGAUGAAGGUCUUCGGAUCGUAAACCUCUGUCAGCAGGGAAGAACGGUCACUGUGCUAAUCAUCAGUGAAUUGACGGUACCUGCAAAGGCAGCACCGCCUAACUCCGUGCCAGCAGCCGCGGUACUACGGAGGGUGCGAGCGUUAAUCGGAAUUUCUGGGCGUAAAGCGCUCGUAGGCGGUAUGUCAAGUCAAGGGUGAAAUCCCCGCGCUCAACGUGGGAACUGCCUUUGAAACUGGCAAACUGGAGUGUGUGAGAGGAUAGUGGAAUUCCAGGUGUAGGAGUGAAAUCCGUAGAUAUCUGGAGGAACAUCAGUGGCGAAGGCGACUAUCUGGAACAUAACUGACGCUGAGGAGCGAAAGCGUGGGUAGCAAACAGGAUUAGAUACCCCAGUAGUC